rnacentral:rRNA from 1 species
AUUGAACGCUGGCGGCAGGCUUAACACAUGCAAGUCGAGCGGGGUGAUGGUGCUUGCACUAUCACUUAGCGGCGGACGGGUGAGUAAUGCUUAGGAAUCUGCCUAUUAGUGGGGGACAACAUCUCGAAAGGGAUGCUAAUACCGCAUACGUCCUACGGGAGAAAGCAGGGGAUCACUUGUGACCUUGCGCUAAUAGAUGAGCCUAAGUCGGAUUAGCUAGUGUGGUGGGGUAAAGGCCUACCAAGGCGACGAUCUGUAGCGGGUCUGAGAGGAUGAUCCGCCACACUGGGACGGAGACACGGCCCAGACUCCUACGGGAGGCAGCAGUGGGGAAUAUUGGACAAUGGGGGGAACCCUGAUCCAGCCAGGCCGCGUGUGUGAAGAAGGCCUUAUGGUUGUAAAGCACUUUAAGCGAGGAGGAGGCUCUUUUGGUUAAUACCCAAGAUGAGUGGACGUUACUCGCAGAAUAAGCACCGGCUAACUCUGUGCCAGCCGCCGCCGUAA